rnacentral:rRNA from 1 species
UACAGAGGGUGCAAGCGUUGUUCGGAAUUACUGGGCGUAAAGCGCGUGUAGGCGGUCCGUUAAGUUGGUAGUGAAAUCCCAUGGCUCAACCAUGGAAGUGCUGCCAAAACUGGCGGGCUGGAGUGCCGGAGAGGGUGGCGGAAUUCCCAGUGUAGAGGUGAAAUUCGUAGAUAUUGGGAGGAACACCGGUGGCGAAGGCGGCCACCUGGACGGUAACUGACGCUAAGACGCGAAAGCGUGGGGAGCGAACAGG